GUGUCAAUAGCUCAGCUCAGAGCGCUGGUCUUGUAAACCAGAUGUCGGGGGUUAAAAUCCCCCUUGUCACU
rnacentral:tRNA from 1 species